GCUGCUGUGCUAAGUCAUUUCAGUCGUGUCUGACUCUGUGCGACCCCAUAGACAGCAGCCCACCAGACUCCCCUGUCCCUGGGAUUCUCCAGGCAAGAACAUUGGAGUGGGUUGCCAUUUCCUUCUCCAAUGCAUGAAAGUGAAAAGUGAAAGUGAAGUCGCUCAGUUGUGUCUGACUCUUCUCGACCCCAUGGAAUGCAGCCUACUGGGCUCCUCCGUCCAUGGGAUUUUCCAGGCAAGAGUACUGGAGUGGGGUGCCAUUGCCUUCUCUGGUCUUAGUCUUAAGAACAUUCAAAUAACUUGACUGUAUCAGUUUGUGUCCAGAAUCUAUUCUGGAGUGAUUCAAGUAUAAAAAGACAGACUAUGUAACAAUCUUUAAAGGCUUUUACUUAUAAGACUAAACACUUUUUGAGAUAACUGCAUAUUCAUAUGCAGUGGUAAGAAAUAAUACAGAGAGGUUUUUGUUUACCCUUCACCUGGAUUCCCACAAGAGGAACAUUUUGUAGAAGAAUAACACAGUAUCACAACCAGGAAAAUGACACUGAUACAAUCCAAUGACUAACUUUCACCAGUUUUGCAUGCAUUUGUUUGUGAUAUGUGUGCACAUAGUUCUGUGCAGUUUCACUGCAUAUGCAGAUUUGUGUGGCCACCCCCACAGUCAAGACACGAAUCUGCUGCUGCUGCUGCUAAGUCGCUUCAGUCGUGUCCGACUCUGUGCGACCCCAUAGACGGCAGCCCACCAGGCUCCCCCAUCCCUGGGAUUCUCCAGGCAAGAGUACUGGAGUGGGGUACCAUUGCCUUCUCCAAGACACGAAUCUAUUCCCUCACAAAUACCUUUGUACCUUCUCAUCACUACAACUACUUUCCUCUUCAGUGUUCCUCCUUAACCCUUGGAAACCUCUAAUCUGUUCUCCAUUUCUAUAAUUUUGUCGUUUCAAGAAUGUUAUAUAAAUAGAAUUAUACAGUAUACAUACUUUUGAGAUUUUUUUUCACUCACAAUUGCCUACAAAUCUAUAGCAAUGUGUAUCAAUAACUGUUCCUUUUUAUUGCUCAGUAGUAUUGGAUGGUGAAGAUUUAUCAGAGUAUGUUUAACCAUUCACCCUUUGAAGGACCUUUGGCUGGUUUUCACAUUUUUGAUUAUUAAGACAACGACUGCUAUAAGCAUUGUGUAUGGGUUUUUGUGGGAACAUAAGCUUUUGUUUCUCUGAGAUAAAUGUCAGAAAGGAUGCUUGGGUAAACAUUAUCCUGAGGCUUUGAGAACCUGCAGAGAGGUGUUUGCAUGUGGAGACAGGAAGCCAUUCUGCUUGGACUAAGAAUUCUUGGUGGUCACCAGUGCUAAACGAUAGCAAAGAGAAUUGUGAAUGAUAGAGAGUUACUUUCAUCCCUCUUCACACCUCCCCCUGGACUCUGACCUCCUUCCCUGGGCAGGAAAUACAUUUACCGUCUGUUUUUGUUUGUGGUGUAUUAAGAAAGCAGCAGGGUUGGCCUUGAAGAGUUUCUUUCCAAUCCUGUGAUCUGUACAUUCCUGGAUUUGCUCACAUGUUGCAGAUAACAGAUGAAUUGCUUCACCUGCGUUGUUAUCCUCUUCUGCUUCUGGAGGUUCUUAUUCCACAUGUUGUGCCCUCUCUCUCUUAUCUUUAGACUCUGCUCCGUCAGCAGCACAGUUGUUUCAAGCUUUGGAGUAAAGCAUUCUCUGCCCCUCUGCUCUGAAACUCAUUGACUGACCUCACAGUAGGCAAACUGUUUAACCUCUUAGACUCCGCUUCUCAUCUUUAAAAGGGUGAUAGGAACAAUUUUAUCAUUUCUUGGACUUUGGCAUUAGACUUCUGGUUCAAUUUUGACCUGGCUGUUUUAUAACUGUAUGCCUGGAGAUAUACUUCUCUGUCCUUCAG
ensembl:lncRNA